UCUAAUCUAGAGCAACAAAUUGGUCACAAACAGAAAGUGGUUAACUAAUUAAAAUUACCACAACGGCCUCCAGAAACCGGCAGAAGCAAAAAAAAAAAAAAAAACAACAACAACAAAAAACAAAGGCCUGAAAUGCAGAACCAAGAAAAGGGAGUCGAGACCAUCAGACCAUCAGCCUUUGAAACUUUACAAGACCCUUUUUAGUAGCCAGAUGACUGUGGGGGUGAGGGUGUUCGAAGACAAGGAAAUCCAUGCUGACUUUAAGGUUUAGAUUCGGCCCAUUUCCACAAGCGUCAAGUAGAAAAGAUGAAGUAGGGAGUCGGCCAGAAGACACACAGGGAGAUCCUUAGCUACUGCCUCCCCUGGGCAUGUUAGUCGUGAAGACACAUAUCAUCUCCCCCUGGAGGGGGCACAAGCAUGUGUAAUUUUCAGCAAAAAAUAUAAUUGAUUCUAAUCUGUUCUAUAAAAAUAGGCCUUUACUAUUUGAAAGUGAAUAUGAAAACUUGAACAAUGAACACAACAACUUUAAGGCUCUUUGGACGGAAGCUCAAAGCACAGGAAAUGCCUCUAACUGACGCUGGUGUCUGUGUUCAAUGGCAGCCAAGUUUCUGUGAGAAACUGUGAGAGACUGUGCUGUCAUGGAAACAAUUUAUCAAAAUCACAAGCCAUGUUGAUUGCUCGUGUGAAUGACAGCUUAAUUACUAAAUUAAAUAAUCCCUUGGGGAUCUCAAGUAAACUUUCAGCCGGCCCAGAGGGACCAUCAGGAGCUGUGUCGUGCCGGGCCUCCCUGCUAGCGAGCCGGGCCAUCAUGCGAGGCAGGCACCUGCAUCACCAUGAACCAGCUGCUGCUCUGCAUGCCACCUUGCUGCUGCCAAGACCGACAACCACAGAGGGAGAAGGUCCUUAGUCUUUGCCUUCCUAGCCUGAGAAAGCCUGUACGGGGGCAGGCAUUCCCACUGCACACUUUCCCCAGAGGUACCAGAACUGACUCCCCGUGAAGAAAGUGCCGAGUCCUUGAGAGUCGCAGUCUAUGGAGUAUGCCAGGCCUGGGCAUGAGGGAACCGUCUGGUCUGAUUGUAUGAGGCCACAGGGCCUGUGAGAAAGCUAAGCAAAGCCAACACAUGCGUACCAGACACAUGCAGGACGUACCCAGCCCCAUCAUGACGACGUAGCUGGUGCUAGAUUGUGUGAAGUUCAAAGACGUGAAGGAGAAGAAAGUUACUGCGUUGUGAGUAGGCUUGUGGGGAAAUUGAUAGCAAGAAUUUGAUGUCUCUGGCCAAUGACCAGCAGGGCCCUGAGUCCUGCUAACAGUCACAGGAACAAAGUUGGAAGUGACCCUCUAAGAUCUGUCAGAGCCACAUGACCAAGCUUAGAAGCAAACUGAAACUUUCGUUGAGCUUUGACGUUCCCUGUUUCACUCCUUAAUCACAGCCCGGUGGGAGACCCCAAACCAGAGACACCUCAAACCAAAGGCAAUGCAACACCUGGAUUCCAGACCCACAGAAACUAUGGGAUAAUAAAUGUUCAUUUUGGGGGCACCUGGGUGGCUCAGCUAGUUAAGCGUCUGCCUUUGGCUCAGGUCAUGAUCUCGGGGUCCUGGGAUCAGGCCCCCCCACUUUGGGCUCCGUGCUCAGCAGAGAGUCACCUCCUCCCUCUCCCUCUGCACUCUCUCAGUCUCUCAAAUAAAUAAAUAAAAUCUUUUAAAAAAUAAAUAUUAAUUUUUUAAUAAAACUACUAAGUAAAUUGCGAUAGAUAGCAAACAAGAGGAUAGGGAGGAGGAGGCCCAGGGGACAGUGGCUAUGCUGUAUCCUAAUAGCGGGGCAGUGCCUGGUUCCAGCCCCUCGGGAAGCCUGGCUCUCCUUCCAGCCCCUGAGUUCCAAGAGGUCCCCAUAUUCCUCCCGGUACAUUUCCCUUUACGACUCAGGCAGUCAGAAGAGGUUUUCAUUCCUUCACACCAAACAACCCUUGGGUCUAACAGUCAGCUCUGAGACAAGAGAGCCCUGUUGGCCAGCAGUCCUGAUGGCUUUCCUGAACUGAACAUACUAACAGAUGUGCAAGUUGGAUGUAUCUACGCACACGAAGAAAAGACUCGGCCCUUCAUUUACGGAACUCAAGAUGAGAGGAAAAUGGCGCUCAUUGCAGCUUUCCUCUUCCUGGUUCAAUAUACUGUGUAGAAAUAUUGAAAAGGUUGGAUCUAAAAACUUAAAUUACCAGUUAGUCCUUUGGAACUGAGCAUUUCCUCCCACAGCUCCUGGGUGCUGAUGUUAACCUAAGGUCAAAGAACAAAGGCUUUAUUACUGAGGGCAUGGAUGGGGAAAGGAUCGGAUGUAUUUGCUCCAGAUGCCUGCCUGCCUGCCUGCCUGCCUGCCUCUCGCGACCUCCCUUCCGCUCUCUUUCCCUCUCUUCCCGCUUCCCUCCUUUUCUUCCUCUUCCCGCCCUCUCUGAAAUGUGUACAAACACAGGCGCAAGCUGUCUUCUUGCCCCAAGCUGCCGUCUCCUCCUUUCUUUUCUUGCCUCCAAUCCACACGAAUAACUCACCUAAGGAAAUCUCGGUCAUUUUUUUAAAAAUAAUUUUUUCUUGUUGCUUGUGCAAAAAUAAAAACAUAAAAUUGUUUUGGGUCCAUAAAAUGUGCAUAAAUAAUAUCAUAUGAUAGAGAUCUUUUUGCCAUUUUUGUUCUCACUCAAAUCCAGUUUUGACACUUAUCUAUAUUCAUAUACAGAAAGGUAUUCAUUUGUUUUUUUCUUUUGGUCUUCUUACAUGUUCUAGAGAAACAAUUCAUGUACAGUGAAAUACACAGAACUGAAGGGUUACAGUUCACCGAGUUUUAGCAAAUGCACACAACCCAAGUCACCACACUCCUCUCACAAUACAGAACUUUUCCAUCAUCCCCGAAAGUUCCUCUGUCUCCCCAGAGUCACACACACAGCCCCCCCCCACUGCUCCUCACCCCAGGUGGUCACUGAUCUGCUUUGUAAAACUGCCUAUAAAUGGAAGAGCACAGCACCCACUAUUUUAUGCUUGUUUCUUUCACUCAGUGUAUGUUUGGAGAAGCAUCCGUGUGGUUGAGUGUCAGUAGUUUGUCUAGUUUUAUUCCUGAGCAUAUUUCAUUGUAUGGCUGUAUCGUAAUUUGCUUGAUAGAUAUUUAGGUCACUUCUAGUUUGGGAUUAUUACAAAUAACAACUUAUGAACAUUCUUUUUUAAAGAUUUUAUUUAUUUGAGAGAGGCAGUGACAGAGAUAGCAAGAGAGAGCAGGAGCCCAGUGGAGAAGGAGAAGCAGGCUCCCCACUGAGCAGGGAGCCCAAUGCGGGGCUUAAUCCUUGGACCCCAGGAUCGUGACCUGAGCCAAAGGCAGACGCUUAACAAUUGAGCCACUCAGGUGCCCCAGUUAUGAACAUUCCUGUUAAAUCCUUUUGUGCUCACAUUCUUACUUAUCUUCAGCAAGUAAAUAAAUACUCUAGGAGGGACAUUGCUGGGACAUAGGGUAAAUGCGUGUUCAGUUUAAUUAGAAACCGCCAGGCUUUUCUUAAAGCGGUUGUACCAUUUUAAACUUUCAUCAGCAAGGUAUGAGAGUCCUGCUUGCUCCACAUUCUCACCAAAAUUUAGUAAUGUUAGUCUUUUAGAUUUUAGCUACACUAAUGGUAAUGUAGUGGGUAUCUCAUUGUGGCUAUAAUUUCAUUUCCCUGAUGACUAAGGUUGUUAAACAUU